rnacentral:piRNA from 1 species
UCCAUGGAUUUAUAGCGAAAU